CUCCCUAGCUCUCCUGGCCCCUUGGCUGCCCGUUUUGAUCCAAAUAGUCAGGGGGAAUUAAUGCGUUUAUAUUUUUAACCCAUUCGAGGCCCCGCCAGCCGCGCGCAGCAGGCCCCCUCCUGGUCCCUUUUAACCCUUUGAAUGCCCAGCAGUUUGGAGAUACAAACUAAAGUCGUAAAACACAGGAGACCAGCUACAAGCUGAGGGGUUCGAGAUUCAGAGAAUCGGACAGGCUGGUCCCUGGCCGACCUGGAAAGGACGUUUGCGCCUCGCUCACUUGCUCGGUUCCUCAGUUUCUCCGUCUGUGAAUGGGAUUCAAUGUCACAAAGUAGCCAAGAAAAGAUGGGGCGGAAUUUUCGUAAAGACAAAGUGUGUAAAAGUCUGAAAGGCUUCCUUCAGCGCCCAGAAGACCCGGAGGGGUUGUGAUGGGGCAGAGGACACCGCGGGAUGGCGUAACCAGGGCAACCAUUCCCAAAAUAACCCCUUUCUCUUGGCAUUGUCUGCGAGGCUUGAGGCUGAACUGCAAGGUCUCCUGCCAGGGGAGGCUGUGCUGUGCUGGCUCUAAACGCGAGCCAUAACCCUCACUCAGAAGUUGCCUGGAGGGAUUCGAUCCCACCAAGGUGCCUAGGUGGGGCGCUGCUCACUGAGGGGCGCCCCAUCCCUCCCCCCCGCAAAAGUCCAUCUGAGCCGGCAAGAGCUGGAACAGGCAGCCUCUGGUGGGUACUACCCUAGGGAUUCGUCCUCUCAAGGGAAUGAAGUUCCUUGUCGACCUCGCUGCUGGCGGGGAGCCUGGCUGGGAGAUGGGCGUCCAUGGUCAGGUCCCAGGACGUGCUGAUGGCUCUUGGAGUCUGGAUGUUGGGGGGGGGGGGGUGUGAAGGGCAAAAAAACUUCAUGUACCACAUCAUCUUUUCCCUUUUGACAUCAAAAACGCAGCUUUUUCGGA